CCCACCGCGAGGCGGGAUCUGAAGGAAGCCGAAGGCAAAAUGCUGGCCUGACGAACAGGAAGUGGAUUAGGCGGCGCAGCGGGGUAAGGCGUCCAAUAUCGCCAAAGCCCGAUACUUGCACGAAACGCUGCGACGUAUAUCCGACAGGCAUAAGCAGGAAGGUCGCGCGA
rnacentral:ncRNA from 1 species